CAGGGCCAAACUGGAGGCUUUGGGCUGGAGGAAGCAUGGAGCCCCAAAUCAAAAAUUGGGUGGCCUCUCUCUCAGCAUGGCAUGGCUCACUUUUGGUGGGUGUCAUGUGCUUGCGAUCAGCAGCAGCCACAGCCAGUGCUCGUCUACUGAAUGAAAACUACAGCAGUAAACAGCAGCGAAAGUGUGGAAUAGUGUGGGGUGGUCCCCUCUGGGAGUCAUGGGAUGAUGAUGUUGAGCAGAGGAGAGUUUCAGCACAGCACAAAGGAAAAUGUCCUGAUGCUGUGCUGGCCCUCAGGGGGAUGGGGAGAACCCCUUGGACUGAGUCAUGGGGAUAGACAGGAAAGAGCUGUGGAAAAUGGGCAGUCAGAAGCAGCCCUGCUGGCAGCAACCUACAUGGGAUUUUCCAACUCCCAAUUUAUGUGAAGUGGAAAGUGAUUUAUUUUGCUUAAUAUUGCUUUCCUAUAAUGAGUAGUACCUAGAGGGGAGGUGCAGAGCUUGGGUAAGGAGUGUCUUCAGGAAUCUGCCUGCUGCUGCAAGAGCAGCACUUCCCCAUCACUGCUGUGUUGGUCUGAGAGUCACAUCUCUGUCCUGCCCACAUGUCCCUACAGUGGCACUGCCUGCAUAUCCCUGAGAAACAAAACAACCCAAGUCACACAGGGUUGCCCUCUCCUACCUCAAGAGUUGCUGCUUUUUCUCCAUAUCCAGGUCGGCUGAGAGGCACUGAGUCAGCAGCACGAUGUGGAGAUGAAACAUACCUGCAGAAGGGCGUUUUGGAAAGUCCUGCAAUUCUGCCAGAACUGCGCGUGAUGGAGGAUAAUGAGUCCUUCUAAAAAUAGCAGCAGCACCUCCUCAGAGGGUUACUGGGGCAGCUGCUGGAGCUCAGAAGAGGCUGUAAUUCAUAUGCUGAAGCCACACAGGGACGUUUGGGCUUUGUAAUUCCUGUGCCAUAAAGCAAAAGAAGCAAAAGUUGUAUCUGAAGAGCCCACAGAAAUUCAGAGGAUGAGGACAUUCCACUCCUGCUGUGCUCGUCAUGGAAGGAAGCACCACUGUAACCCAGGGGAUGGCACUGAGGAUUCUGUUGGCGCACACAGCACACCUUGCAGAAUAAAACCCAGAAUGGCAGCAGAGCAGCUGAUGGCCGUGGGAGCGGCUCAGCCUCACCGAGGGGUUCUGUUUCCUGGGACAAGAACGGGUGCAGCCUCCAGAGCUCCACUGCGAUAAUGCAAGCCAUGGGCACGGGCUGGGAGUGCAGCGUGACCCCGUGGGAACUUCCUGAGGGAAAGCAAGUUUGAGGGAGGGGCAAAGCGCAGGUUCAGCCCCUCUCUGCACUCACAGUGCUCCUCACAGCAGCAUCUAUACAGAAGCACUCCGCAUUUCCCAGGGAGAGGCCCUUACCGCAGCACCCCGUGCUUAGCCCACGACGCUGGCAGCUGUCCCCCCAUGUGUGAGCUCCUCCCCACCGGCCCCAUCCCAGCACCCCCAUCUGUUGGGCCCCAGCCUUCCCCUGGUCUCCUCUUACUCUGAAUUGCAGCUCUGAUUGCACAGCUUUAUGCUCUUGCAGCGCUUUGCUGUUGGAACAAUUUCUUGCCAAAAGCACAGCACGGUGCUGUGCCUUCCUGCUCCCCCCGGCUGCCAUCUGCCACCCAGCAUAAAGCAAACGUGGGGCUGCUGCUGCCCAUCUGCUCACCAUAGAGUCAACCGAGCAGCCUUCCUCCCGCCUGCAGCAGCCACUGCACCGGAGGCUGCAAUUGCUGGAAGUGCCAAGGAGACAGAGGGAGACACACAAUACCUUUCAUUGUGCUUCAUCUGUGUACUGCAGCACUGAGUCCAAGUGGGUCCUACUGCUUCCAUCCAUCCUGGAAAGAAGAGACAAGCACUGAACCCCUGCUAGCUGCCUGCGAGCUCGCUGUGUAAGCAAUCUGCAGCAGAUGGUGCCCAGAUGUUCCCCAUCCCCAGAUGUUCCAGCUUUAUACAGAAGACAACUCCCGCUCUUCAGCUCUGGAGCGAGGGCACGAGGAGCACAGAAGGGUAAUUAGUGCUUACACACAAACACCAACACAGAGGCUGAUUCCUCCUUACAGUUUCACUACAGGACACAAACUUCUGACACCCACCAGAGCCUGAGCUAACUGUGCUGCCUGGAAGCCACACUGUUAUGGCUGCCCAGGGCUCCCUACUUGUACCGAUGGAAAAGUUACCUUCAUCUCCAUAGUAACAUAACACUGCUGCUUUCAGGAAGUUCCAAGA
rnacentral:lncRNA from 1 species